GGGGACAAAGCUUUUGUAAGGCGGAAGGAAAAGGAGAAUCAAGAUGGAGACGAAGAAGGAUGUCCCAGAUCCGGGUGGUCUUGAUUUGCCAAGCUUAAGUAUCUCUUGCAUUUACAAAGAGUGAAAUCACCUUGACCAUCUGAUUGACCUCCACAACUGGAUUAAACCUUAAGAGAUGCAGCAAGGGUUUGUUUCUACUUACAGACAGAGUCCAUUCUUUUGACAAGAAAGAGGAGAUUUUCAUUUACUGGAAUUUCAACAUUAUGAUAAGAAUUUUCUAAGCUUUCCUGAUUUUUCAUAAUAAUGUUUAUAUAUCUGUGGUGUUUUGAAUAGAUAUGGCCCCCAUAGACUCAUGUGUUUGAAUGCUUGGCCCAUACUGAGUAGCACUGUUUUGAGGUGUGGCCUUGCUGGAGUAGGUGUGGCCUUGUUGGAGGAAGUACAUCACUGUGGGGAUGAACAUCGAGGUCUCUUAUGCUCAAGCUAUGUCUAGUGUGGCACACAGUUUCCUUUGCUACCUGUGGAUCAAGAUGCGGAACUCUCAGCUCCUUCUCCAACUCCAUGACUACCUGCAUGUUCCCAUGCUCCCACCAUGAUGAUAAUGGACUAAGCCUCUGAAACUGUAGGCCAGCCCCAAUUAAAUGGUUUUCUUUACAGGA